GACGAACGCUGGCGGCGUGCUUAACACAUGCAAGUCGAACGGAAAGGCCCUGCUUGCAGGGUACUCGAGUGGCGAACGGGUGAGUAACACGUGGGUGAUCUGCCCUGCACUUCGGGAUAAGCCUGGGAAACUGGGUCUAAUACCGGAUAGGAGCCAUUUUUAGUGUGAUGGUUGGAAAGUUUUUUCGGUGUAGGAUGAGCUCGCGGCCUAUCAGCUUGUUGGUGGGGUAAUGGCCUACCAAGGCGGCGGCGGGUAGCCGGCCUGGGAGGGUGGACGGCCACAUUGGGACUGAGAUACGGCCCAGACUCCUACGGGAGGCAGCAGUGGGGAAUAUUGCACAAUGGGCGCAAGCCUGGUGCAGCGACGCCGCGUGGGGGAUGACGGCCUUCGGGUUGUAAACUCCUUUCGCUAGGGACUAAGCUUUUUGUGACGGUACCUAGAUAAGAAGCACCGGCUAACUACGUG
rnacentral:rRNA from 1 species